rnacentral:rRNA from 3 species
UUAAAUUGAAGAGUUUGAUCAUGGCUCAGAUUGAACGCUGGCGGCAGGCCUAACACAUGCAAGUCGAACGGUAACAGGAAGCAGCUUGCUGCUUCGCUGACGAGUGGCGGACGGGUGAGUAAUGUCUGGGAAACUGCCUAAUGGAG